UGAAACCCAUGGCCUUGCUGACCUAGCCUAAUGAGCUUCAGGGAGGAUGUGAAACAGAAAACGAUUAUUUCUGAAUAUUGGUGACGAUCUUGAGAGGCAUCUGAUUUUGACUACUGGACAUAUUCAACAUCAGCUGCAUCCACAAUGCUGCAAAGGACAUGUUUUUAUUUAUUUAUUUAUUUUACAGCUGUGCAGUACCAAAUAGUCUAUAAAGGUCCUUGUUAUGGACUAAAUAUUUAUAACCCCCUCUCACAAUACAUAUGUUGAAACCUAACACCCAAUGGGAUGGUAUUAGGAGGUGGGGCCUUUGGGAGGUAAUUACAUCCUCAAUUGGAGCCCUUAUGAUAGGAUUAGUGCAUUUUAAGAAGAGAAAUGGGAAAGCUUGUUUCUCUGCUUUCUGCCAUGUGAAGACUCAGCAAGAAGAUGAUUAUUUGCAAACCAGGAAGAAAAGCCUCACCAGAUACAUAAAAUAAUAAACAACCCAAUGAAAAAUGGGCCAAAGACCUCCAUAGAAUCUUACCAAAGAAGAUAUACAGAUGGCAAAUAAGCAUAUGAAAAGAUAUUGCAUGUCUACAUCAUCAGGGAAAGGCAAGAUUAAGAUGACAUGACAAUGGGACAU
rnacentral:lncRNA from 1 species